UUCAGUGGCCUCACAACUCCACAGAAGAACCCAUCUUUGCUCUGACAAAAACUGGUGAUAAAUUUGACGAGGUGCGGACUAUACUGCUAGAACUUUAUAGCAAUGGUUGUAAAUUCAGAAUAAGUCAGCUGAAGAAGCGAAUUGAGGAAUCGUCAAUGCCUGUCCCAGCGGAAAACGAGCUUAAACGAUUAAUAAAGGAUUACUGCAUUACUCGGUCAGGCUACUACUAUCUAAAGGGCACCGUGGGAGCAGACAGCUAGUAGCUCUACAGAUGUAGGGUUGGCAUUCCAUGUGCACACAGCACAUAUAUUAUCAGGUCUGCGAAUGAUUCCAUCAAGAUGAUAUCACUAGGCAGAACUAGUGAAAACCUAACCAUCUGCAGCAAAUGCAAGACAUAUCUUUGCGUACCGGCUGGUUGAGCUACCAUAAGCCUUCAUAUGUUGUCAUGAGUCUAAUAGCCAUGUGUCAGGUAUGUGUAGUCAGCAUAUCCUGAAUAUGAUGGCUAUCCUGACGGUUUUGUCAAGUGUUUUUUUUUUAUCUGACAAAAGCCGGCUGUGUUGAUGUAGACAUCCCUGGCAGGAUUCCUGCAUAUAUUCAACGUUGAAUUUGGGCCUUACAGUAAACAGCACACGCACUGUGUGAAUUGUAAGGGGGAUACUGCAAUUAUCAUUCGUAACCAGAGAGCUUAUGUUCCUAAUAAAAGACAAGAUAUGCGAUCUUUAAUCGUGUCUCAGAAGUAAAGUAACGCAUAUGACCUGUUGUUUAUAUAAUGUCGAAAGUAUUAUUGAAAUCUUGCUUUGAUAUAGCUAAAUUAAAUACACGUGAAAUAAUAUUUGCAAUAAUA